rnacentral:lncRNA from 1 species
GAAUCCUGGAGUUUAUCAGCCUGGCUGUGGGGCUGAUCAGCAUCCGGGGAGUGGACUCUGGCCUGUACCUAGGAAUGAAUGAGCGAGGAGAACUCUAUGGGUCGAAGAAACUCACACGUGAAUGUGUUUUCCGGGAACAGUUUGAAGAAAACUGGUACAACACCUAUGCCUCAACCUUGUACAAACAUUCGGACUCAGAGAGACAGUAUUACGUGGCCCUGAACAAAGAUGGCUCACCCCGGGAGGGAUACAGGACUAAACGACACCAGAAAUUCACUCACUUUUUACCCAGGCCUGUAGAUCCUUCUAAGUUGCCCUCCAUGUCCAGAGACCUCUUUCACUAUAGGUAAUGAACCUCUGGUGUGCCCUCUGUGACCCAUGUACCCUGGGGCCACGGUUGUCUCUGCAAGCACUAUAUUCAUAGCUUUUCAAUCCUUCCUUCCUAUCAUUUUAGAUAACAGAAAAGCACUUACUGUUGAACUCAACCCAGCUGUUCCCUUGUUGUUCAAAGUGUAUAUCAAGGUUGGGUUAUUUUGGGGAGGGAUGGGGGGCUGGGCUCGAGGGAAUCUUGUAUAUACUUUUUUCUUUACUCAUGUUCCUUCCCCUGAGGUAGCAUAACAAAGAAUGGGAGCCCCUGCUAAGGGCCAGGGGUGUCUUACCCCACAAUUUACUCAAAUACCUUGACAAUGGGUAUAAAUGAAAGGCCAAGGAAUCUGCCACAGAUGCUACCUACAGAGCUUUGGAAAAGUCUCAUUAAGAAAAUCCUUGGGGCUACAGCCUUGCUGCAAGCCUUCCCUGCAUUGGCUCUGCAGAUUUCUCAUCUGUCCUGACAUGCAGUUUUCCUGUCAUUGGAAGUGGGAGAUGGGGUAGGUUGUAAGAAAAUGAUAUUAAAAUGUAAGCAUGGAUACUGUGCAUAAGGACAAACUAUUUAUAAAAUGUAUAUGCUAUUUAUUUUAUAUAUUUAUUUAUUUCAAAAUAAUAAUUUUAUUUUUAAUGAGAGAUGCGAUGGCUGGAUUUUCAUCAGAAAGAAUAAGGUCCUACUGAAACAGGAUAAAAUGAGUUAUUAAAGGCUUUUACUGACAAUAAAAUUUGUCUUUAUAUUGUAA